rnacentral:rRNA from 1 species
AGUGAACGCUGGCGGUAGGCAUAACACAUGCAAGUCGAACGGCAGCACAGUAAGAGCUUGCUCUUACGGGUGGCGAGUGGCGGACGGGUGAGGAAUACAUCGGAAUCUACUUUUUCGUGGGGGAUAACGUAGGGAAACUUACGCUAAUACCGCAUACGACCUACGGGUGAAAGCAGGGGAUCUUCGGACCUUGCGCGAUUGAAUGAGCCGAUGUCGGAUUAGCUAGUUGGCGGGGUAAAGGCCCACCAAGGCGACGAUCCGUAGCUGGUCUGAGAGGAUGAUCAGCCACACUGGAACUGAGACACGGUCCAGACUCCUACGGGAGGCAGCAGUGGGGAAUAUUGGACAAUGGGCGCAAGCCUGAUCCAGCCAUACCGCGUGGGUGAAGAAGGCCUUCGGGUUGUAAAGCCCUUUUGUUGGGAAAGAAAAGCAGCAGGUUAAUACCCCGCUGUUCUGACGGUACCCAAAGAAUAAGCACCGGCUAACUUCGU